UUAAUAUUCAAAACUAAAUAAAUUAUUAUUAUAAGAUACUAGCAGACCCGGCCACACGUUUUUGUGGCUAUGGUAUACAUUAAAUUAAGUUGGUCCAAUCUUGGCUUCGGCGACGAUAUUGAUUACUCGAGGUUGAUUUAUGUUACGCAGCAUGAUUACAACUCACACUACUUUUAAUUGCAAAGUACAGGCAAUUUUAAAUAGUUUGGGAUAAUUGACUGCGUCGUCCUGGUUUGUAGCUGUGUCAACUCUCUUGGACCGAAAUUCUAAAUUGUCGCAUUAAGAUCAUCGAUAUCUUUUUUUUUUACCACCAAUAUAGGUCAGUCAUUUAUGGCUAUCAUAUUCAUGUCAGGAAAACUCCUCUUUCGAGUCAAUGAAGUGACAGAAAUCUGUUGGAAAUGCUAAUAAUCCAUCGAGGUGUCAACUGCCAACUACAAUCGCAAUUUGAUAUUGUUGCAAAAACACUCAUAUGUUAGUUGUUAAUUGGCGAUUCUUUAUGUGUCGCCACAAAUUAAAUGAUUUUAGGCAUGCGCUUAGCCCGUCAGUAACAGUUGAUCCAGGAAUAAUUUUAAGAGUCUGGCGUAAAUCACCUGCUAACAGAAUCCUGGCUCCACCAAAAACGAUCAUCGACAAUCAAGAUCUUUUAAAGUCCUGUGCAGUACCUCCAGCGACUUCUUGAAUAUUUGGGAAAUCUUCGUUAUAGCGCUAUUUUUGACGAUUUUGCCGACUGGUGUUUCGUUCAUUUGCAAUUUAGGAGUAAUUUCAAAGCCGAAUGUGCCGUUUGUUUGCUUACUAACAGGUCUCAAGUUGCCCUAUUCCCGUUAACCUUGGUGGUGAAAAUGAAUGAAAUUGGUUCUGGAAUUACAUCAGCCCUCAUAUACUAUAUAUGAUGAUUUUCUAUUGGACUUUAUGUCGAAUAUAUAGGUCAUAUUGUGUGUUAUCUUAAUAAAAUUACAUCAAUAAAUUGAGAGAGUGUAAAAUGUUCGGUUGGACGUGAACUUAGCUUUUCAUUAUUUUUUACAAAUUGUGUUGGGCUAUCGACACAACCUUAUACAAUUGAACAAUAACAAAAAUAUUUUAACAAAGCAACAAUGACAACCUUCAAAUUAUAAUUUUUUGUUUUCUCUUUUAUAUUUUUCUUGUCAACUCGAAUAAAAUUCUCUUAUUAUUAUCUUCCUCGCAAUUUUUUCAUAUUUACUCACUUUCUAAUCUUUUUCUGGCCUUCCACAAAUAUUUCAAGACUAAAAUUAGCCAGAUCGGUUUGGCCGUUCUCCUUUUUUUGCGGCACAAACGAACAGCAAUUCAUUUUUAUAUUAUACUAUUAUCCAAGAAUGAUAGAAGACAAGAUUACGACAGACUGAAGCGUUCACGAUCCACGAAUGGGAAUAGGCAACAGAAGAAUUGUCAAAUGGAAAACGGAAAUGUGAAACAUAGUGAACCAAAUUGAAUAAUGUGCAGAUAAAAUAUCACAAUGAACGUAAUUCUUAAAAUCUUCAUUUAUAAAAUGAUCCAAUAUAAUAAUGCAUAUUUAUAAUUAAAAUAAUAUGUUUUGUUACAAAGAGUUCGCCGUUUUGCCAACUUUUUUGUUGGUUGGAGAAGUGAAAAACAUUCUUAAUAGACGACUUUUUUGUACUAUUGUUGUUUAAUUCCGAGAUUGCGGACUUUUUUUUCAAGUUAAUACAAUUUUCACUUAGAAUUUUAAAUAAUAAUUAAGCACUGACUUCAGCUCUUUGUUUUGGUUUUAUUGUUUUGUACCACAGUGCAAUUUUGUUUUGCUCGCGUGUUCGGGGUCGUGAAAGUUGUCACUCAACAGGAACUCAAAACCCAAAAAAGCUAACUGUCGUAAUCUUGUCUUCUAUCAUUCUUGACUAUUAUCAAGCGACAAUUUUUUUUAAUUCUUCGUUCCCGAAUGACGCCUACAACUCUACAACGCAUAGUUAGCCGCCGAAAAAUUUCAAAAUUUUUAACUCGUGAUAUCUUUUGAAUGGAAUGUCAGAAUCUAAUAAUUCAAAAAGUUAUAUAAAGGUUUUGAAGCGAUCUUAAAUAACAAAUCAUUUGUUUCGAGAAGGAUUAAUACUAAGGUAUAAAUAAAGAGCCUUUUCAAGUAGUGGUAUUUUAAUUCAUUUUUUUAUAUAAAAUCGCUUAUUGUGACAAAACUAUAAUAGUUAGAGAUAUGAUGUCGGGACGUUUUUUGUAGAUAAUGAUAAGUUCUACAUAGUACAUAAAUUUGUUAUAUCUUCAAUCGUUUUCGCAGCAUUUGCAAUUAAAGAAAGUUUUUUGGUAUUUUUUUACAUUAUCGGAGUUUUGUAAGUAACCCUAUUUUUUUAAACUAAAUAUAGCCUAUGUCAGGGAUAGUAUAGCUUUCCAACGGUGAAAGAAUUUUUCAAAUCGGCUCAGUAGUUUCGGAGCCUAUUCGAGACAAACAAACAAAAAAUCAAACCUUUCCUCUUUAUAAUAUUAGUAUGGAAGUAUAGAUUAGUAUAGAUAUGUUGAUAGAACAAAUAAGUUAUUCGCGUUUUCUCAAAGCUUAUCAGCAAUCAGCAAUAUAGCUUUUUUCCCUUAAGGGGGUAUACCGGUGUGACAUUUUCCAAAAAUCGAUAUUUUUAUUUUUUAUUAAUUUGAUAGUUUAUAAUUCCAAAAAUAUCCUGUGAAAGCGGUAAGGUCGUAUCUUGAAUAGUUUUUGAAUGUCAGCGUUCUAAAGUGCAAUCGCUCAAAGGUAUAAGCCGCUAUAGUCGAAACUUUAAACGCGUUAUUCUCGAAAUGACUUUUCACAAAAUUGCCUUCAUCAUAACUCAACGAGAUAUUGACCGAUCAACUUCAAAUUUAAACUGAAUGUUCUCGAAUAUAUUUACUAUACAAUGAGCUAUCUUUUUGAUUUGAUGAAAAUUGUCAAUUUGAUCUAAAAAAACAUCUAAAAACGACCAUAUUUUACCUAAAAAAUCGUUUUUUUUUUUUCAGAACUACGCCAUUUUGUUAAUGUUUGAUAUAUAUUCAACUUUGGUCAUAUAUUCAACUUUAAUAAACUUUUUCAAUUUUUGUGUUUCAGUUACUCAUUCGGCCGUAAUCAUGUCAGCAUUUAGGGAACUUUUUUUUGGCACCUCCCAAGACAGCCUCCUUAUUUUUCAAAAUUUUUGAAAAUAAAAAUCUUAAAAUAUAGUUGAAAGUACACCUUAUUAUGUCCAAAAAACUUCGAAACAUUCGAUUGAAUACUUUCUUUAAAAAAAUCACUAAAAUCGCCUAAUUUUUCAUGGGUUACACUGGUAUAGCCCCCUAAGGACACAUAGGGGACACAUAGCUUCUGGCACAUCUCCCAACUUUUGAUGUCAACGUUCACCAUCUCGUCAGUCUCUUGGCUUAGAAUUGGGUAUUUCUCCGUCCUUGCCAUCACUUGCCACUCCUGUUUCUUGACCAUUUACAACCAUGGCAAAUCGCUCAAAUGGCGCUCCCGAACUGUACUGCUUCAUAUGACUAUGACGCUUGGGGCUCGACACUUUAGCUCCAAUGCAAAUCUCUCAUUGAUUGACGACAACCAACCCAAUAAAAUUGAUUCUCCAAUUUUUCCAAGGUUUUCGUGAUCCUAAAGAAUCCUUGAUUGGGACCUUUGUGCGUUUCAUUGCGAACUUUAAGUAAUCUUUCAUUCCGACCAACCAUGAAAGAUCGGGAGAUUUGUUCUUCUUUACUUUUCCAUACCCGAUAUAAGCAACCAGACACCAACAUAAAACUGUUCCACUGAGCUUUUGCGACUAGAUGUUCCGCAGCUAUUUCUUCUUCUUUUAGACGUUUGUUCCGUUCUACUACUUCGAUCUUUUGUCUCCUGUCCCUUCAACUGUGUAGACACCUGUGCUGAAACCUGCAAUGGUAUACACUCUCCAUGCCCUUCCAGCUGUGUUAACACCUCUGCUCUAUUUAAGGUCGCCUCCAUAGACUCGUCCUCCUUCAACUUUAAGGACACCACAUUCGAUUCCAACUGUGUUGACAAAAUCUCUAGAUGUGUUUCCAAAGGUUUUGACAUACGCGCCUUAUUCGCUUUUAAAUGUGUUGACAAAAUCUCCUAGUGCUUUUCCAACUGUGAAGAAAAUUGUGCUGAUAUUUGCUCGGAUAGCUCUGUUAUUUGCUCUUUCAUUUGGUCCUUUAUUUCUUCCAUUCGCGUUGACUGCGCCAACAUCUGCGACGAAAUCUGUGACAAUGCAGAAAAAACCAUCUUCAUGUCCUGUGCCCCUGAUGAACAUGGAUUAUCUUCCUUUUCCUCCUAUGUUGUCGAUUCAUCUAACAGCGUUUCGAAAACAAAUUCGUCAACGUUGAUGUUUUCUUCUUCCACGGCCUCUCGCAAACGAGCUUGUAACUCAGCUUUCAACUCAUUCGUUGCUAAGUCUCGUUGUUCCAACUCCUUUUUGAGUUGUGGUAUCUUUAAAUCGUUGAACUUAACCAUUAUCUCCCUGUGGAAUUUUAUUCGUCAAUCCCACUUCUGACACCAAUUAUAACGGAUUUCCAAAAUCUGUCGUUUACGCUGAAACUCUACCCUGAGUUGGAUCACUGGAUUGUCAAAUAAAAGUCACAUUUUAAUGGCUACACACUAAUCUUUAUUUCUAAUUCAAAGAACUUAACACUUUAUUACUCAAAACUCUACUUUACAACUCUAACUUGUAACUUGUUUACACUUUACUCGACAGCUCUCCAUAGAAUUGUCCUCACUCGACAACUCUCUCAUUAGAACUGUGUCUUGCUGCCAGUCCGGCAGCCCUUAUAUAUAUCGGCACUCAAACAUUCUGGCAACUACGAAUAUCGAUGUCUAGAUACAUCUGGCAAUUUAUCGAUUUCGAUUGUCAAUUCUAGUUUGUUCUAGUGCCAUUUUCGUUACAGUCCAAUACAAAUUCGAAAUAGUAUUCGCCGUAUGAUGAAAGAAGCACUCGUAGUCCUUUGUGUCAGAAAAUACAAAAACCGUACACCUAGAAAUACAACACAAAAUAUACAACGACAACUGAGCAUAAAUAUUAGUAUUAAUACUUUAUAUAAUUAAUACCUAUUAAAACUCAGAAUAAAAGUGAAAAUCGCACAACGCAACCGGCAUAUAACAAGGCAUAGGAUGAUGUACAACAAGUUACAUCGGAUGUUUUUCAUCUUGAUUCUGAUUUGACUAUGCAGGAAUUAUUAAGCUAAACCUAUAAUUUAUCAUUAGGCGUGUUUUAUUUGACCACCACAAGCUAAUAGCUAAACCAUGGACAAAUAAAACGCAUUUAGCUUAUUUCAUAUCUUCGCUUAAAAAUGAAUUGUGUUGGCAAUGCGGGCCCGAACUCUCAGCUGAAAUGUAAUUUAUUUGAAAAAAAAAGUUGAAUUUAUAAAUCAAAAUUCCUUUUGUUUACCGCUGUUCUAUAAUAUUCUGAGCUUGUAAGGAAUCUACAAUCAUUAUUAGAUCCGGGAUGGUCUAAAUAAAUAUGGAUAAAGUUCUAUAGAAUUUAAAAUUUUGGUUUGUUUAUAUUUUUAUCUGUCAAAAUAGGGUUUCUCGCUAUUGCCAACUACAUCUUUUUGGAAAAAACCCAACUAUUGUGAAUGAAAAAAAAACGAUGAACUGGCAAUGCCUCUAGUUCAAUAUACAAGCUAUGAUAGCUUAUGACAAGCCAACAUAAUUAUGUUGGCUAAGUCUUCCAUACAAAAUAAGCCAAUAGCUUAAUUUGCUGGUCAAAUAAAACGCGCCUAUUGAUAAUAGGCGUGUCUAUUUGUCGACUUUAAAGCGCCUAUUGAUAAUAGGCGUGUUUUAUUUGACCAGCAAAUUAAGCUAUUAGCUUUUUUCAUAAGCUUGUAUAUUGAACUAGAGGCAUUGCCAGUUCAUCGCCUUUUUUCAUUCAAAAUAGUUAGGUUUUUUCCAAAAAAAAUAGUAGUUGGCAAAGCGAGAAACCUCAUUUUGCGUUGCCAACACAAUUCAUUUUUAAGCGAAGAUAUGAAAUACUAGCAGUGACAGAUGAGCAAAAUUAAUGCGCCUUAG